CGUUCUUAACAAGCAUCACCAUAUUUGGCAUCUUGUGAUACAUGUUUCAUGAUCUGCUGCCUCACUCAUCGAAAAGCUUUCGUGCUGGGAAAGGUGGCCUACACCUCUAAAUGCUGACCCUUGGAAUGAGGCAGGAGGCUGGGACUUUGAGGUCAGCUUUGGACUAUACAGUGACUGUUACAAACUCUAAAAAAACAAAGCAAACCAGAAAAUCAGAAUCACAAUACUGGUUCAUAUCAGUGGGUUUCAUAUCAGAUAUUUUUAUUAUGACCCAUAACAGUAGCAGAAUUUUAAAAGCUAGCAACAAAAUAAUUUUACGGUUGAGGGUCACCACAUGAGGAACUGUACUGAGGUGUCUCAGCAUUAGGAAGGCAGAGAACCAUUGCAAUAAAGAAAAAAAAAAAAAGGUUUCACAGAUCCACAGCCUGAGGCCCAGUAGGUUCUCCUUCUAAAAAGUUGGUAAUCAGUUGUGUGCAGGAACCUUCCGUCUAGGGUGUGACUCCAUGUACUGAGGUCAAUUGGUAUUUAGGAAGUUAAGCCUUUUGAUCUCUGGCACUACCACCCCUCACCAGCCCAAGUGUGAUAGCAGUUGUAAUCAGUGUGUGCCAAGCACAUGCCAUGAUUCCAGCAUGCUGCCUGUGACUUGUGCCAGACCACGCAGUGGCUUGCUGGGGGUAGUUGGCAACUACUUACUGUCUCUUUGGUUGCAGGAACAGGAGAACUCUAUACCUGGGGCUG
rnacentral:lncRNA from 1 species